CGGACGGGUGAGUAACGCGUGGAAAACCUGCCGUAUACUGGGGGAUAACACUUAGAAAUAGGUGCUAAUACCGCAUAAGCGCACAGCUUCGCAUGAAGUGGUGUGAAAAACUCCGGUGGUAUACGAUGGUUCCGCGUCUGAUUAGCUUGUUGGUGGGGUAAUGGCUCACCAAGGCGACGAUCAGUAGCCGGCCUGAGAGGGUGGACGGCCACACUGGGACUGAGACACGGCCCAGACUCCUACGGAAGGCAGCAG
rnacentral:rRNA from 1 species